rfam:Omnitrophica WOR_2 bacterium RIFCSPHIGHO2_02_FTLL_45_21 rifcsphigho2_02_scaffold_14056, whole genome shotgun sequence.
GCGCCUAUAGCUCAAUUGGAUAGAGCGCUAGCCUUCGGAGCUAGGCGUUGCUGGUUCGACUCCAGCUAGGCGCA